GAUGAAGAACGUAGCGAAAUGCGAUAAGUAAUGUGAAUUGCAGAAUUCAGUGAAUCAUCGAAUCUUUGAACGCACAUUGCGCCCGCUAGUAUUCUGGCGGGCAUGCCUGUCCGAGCGUCAUUUCAACCCUCAAGCCCCCGGGCUUGGUGUUGGGGAUCGGCGUGCCCUCGCGGCGCGCCGUCCCCUAAAUCUAGUGGCGGUCUCGCUGUAGCUUCCUCUGCGUAGUAGCAACACUCGCACUGGAUCGCAGCGCGGCCACGCCGUUAAACCCCCCACUUCUGAAAGUUUGACCUCGGAUCAGGUAGGAAUACCCGCUGAACUUAAGCAUAUCAAUAAGCGGAGGA
rnacentral:misc_RNA from 1 species